rnacentral:rRNA from 1 species
AUGAACGCUAGCGGCAGGCUUAACACAUGCAAGUCGAGGGGCAGCAUAAUGGAUAGCAAUAUCUAUGGUGGCGACCGGCGCACGGGUGCGUAACGCGUAUGCAACCUACCUUUAACAGGGGGAUAACACUGAGAAAUUGGUACUAAUACCCCAUAAUAUCAUAGAAGGCAUCUUUUAUGGUUGAAAAUUCCGAUGGUUAGAGAUGGGCAUGCGUUGUAUUAGCUAGUUGGUGGGGUAACGGCUCACCAAGGCGACGAUACAUAGGGGGACUGAGAGGUUAACCCCCCACACUGGUACUGAGACACGGACCAGACUCCUACGGGAGGCAGCAGUGAGGAAUAUUGGUCAAUGGACGCAAGUCUGAACCAGCCAUGCCGCGUGCAGGAUGACGGCUCUAUGAGUUGUAAACUGCUUUUGUACGAGGGUAAACGCAGAUACGUGUAUCUGUCUGAAAGUAUCGUACGAAUAAGGAUCGGCUAACUCCGUGCCAGCAGCCGCGGUAAUACGGAGGAUUCAAGCGUUAUCCGGAUUUAUUGGGUUUAAAGGGUGCGUAGGCGGUUUGAUAAGUUAGAGGUGAAAUUUCGGGGCUCAACCCUGAACGUGCCUCUAAUACUGUUGAGCUAGAGAGUAGUUGCGGUAGGCGGAAUGUAUGGUGUAGCGGUGAAAUGCUUAGAGAUCAUACAGAACACCGAUUGCGAAGGCAGCUUACCAAACUAUAUCUGACGUUGAGGCACGAAAGCGUGGGGAGCAAACAGGAUUAGAUACCCUGGUAGUCCACGCCGUAAACGAUGUCGACUUGGAGGUUGUGCCCUUGAGGCGUGGCUUCCGGAGCUAACGCGUUAAAUCGACCGCCUGGGGAGUACGGCCGCAAGGUUAAAACUCAAAUGAAUUGACGGGGGCCCGCACAAGCGGAGGAACAUGUGGUUUAAUUCGAUGAUACGCGAGGAACCUUACCCGGGCUUGAAAGUUAGCGACGAUUCUUGAAAGAGGAUUUCCCUUCGGGGCGCGAAACUAGGUGCUGCAUGGUUGUCGUCAGCUCGUGUCGUGAGAUGUUGGGUUAAGUCCCGCAACGAGCGCAACCCUUAUCCUCAGUAGCCAGCAGGUCAAGCUGGGCACUCUGGCGGGACUGCCGGUGUAAGCCGAGAGGAAGGUGGGGAUGACGUCAAAUCAGCACGGCCCUUACGUCCGGGGCUACACACGUGUUACAAUGGUAGGUACAGAGGGUAGCUACCCAGCGAUGGGAUGCGAAUCUCGAAAGCCUAUCUCAGUUCGGAUUGGAGGCUGAAACCCGCCUCCAUGAAGUUGGAUUCGCUAGUAAUCGCGCAUCAGCCAUGGCGCGGUGAAUACGUUCCCGGGCCUUGUACACACCGCCCGUCAAGCCAUGGAAGCCGGGAGUACCUGAAGCAUGCAACCGCAAGGAGCGUACGAAGGUAAUACCGGUAACUGGGGCU